rnacentral:lncRNA from 1 species
UAUACAGUAGUCAGGGUAACAUGACUGUCUCUCACAGAGAGAAAAACAUCCUCUGGAAAUGAUUAACAUAAGGACAAUAGCACGAGUUUGAGAUUAGGUGAAACAAAAUGUUGCUCUCGGAUACCGUGGCACUACUGCAUCAUGAGCCUACCCUUUGCAGUGAAUCAGUUUUACUAAUGUGAUUAGGAACAGUAUGUCUAUUCAGACAUCCACAUAAUUCCAUCCUGAGGUUCUCACAGUGACCAUAGCGUUCCCUAUUAAAGUCACUCCUCCCUCAAGACCAACAUACAAAACAGGCCAUGACUAAAAGGUUUAGUUCCAUGUCAAAGUCAUUGGAGUAGCACCAUCAUCUUCUUCAGCAACUAGAAUGUCUUGUCAACGUAUGGUCACCUUGGUGCUCCUGGUUUUCCUAUUGCUUAAUAUUGUGGAGAAUGAGGCUGCAUCAUUUCCCUUCUCUUGCCCCACCCUGAGUGGAGUCUGUCGAAAACUUUGCCUGCCAACAGAGAUGUUCUUUGGACCACUGGGCUGUGGAAAGGGAUUCUUGUGCUGUGUUUCUCAUUUCUUAUGACAACUGAAUAAUUACUAGAUUGUUUCUGAUCAAUCACACAUGAAGACAUCACCAUCCCCAUUUAUGGUCUUUCUUCUUAUGUCCCUCCACCUGACCUUGGAUUCUGUGGACUGCCUUCCAUGACUUAACUGUGUGUCUAACUACCUUUAUAUUUAUUUGUUGCAGUUUUCUGUUUGUAACACCCCCCAAAUAUAACAUAUCCUACUUUGUAUCUAAUAGUAUUUCAUUGCAAGAAUCACCACCAUCAUCACAGCUUAGAUGAUGGUGGUGGCGGGGUGGGAUGAUAAAUACACUGGGAAAACAAUGUAAUAAAUGCAUGUAUUAGUGAUACAGUUCUCCUGUGAGGAGUGGAUGGUUAUAAAAGCUGUUCUGUUAUAUUAUGGUGCUAUUAUGGUACUCUUGUUUGGAAGAACUUAUAAAGCAUAAAGGGGCAAUCUGUGAUUGCUACAUCCAUUGUUUUUGUCAAAAUGCACAAGCUCAGAAAAUUUGGUUGGAAAUCAUUGAUGGACAGCCAUGUUCAAACUUUGUUUUUAUUAAUUAAGAAACAUUUCUAUAAUGUAGGUUGUAUAAAUACUGUAAGUAGGAAACAAAUCCAAUUGAAUCCCUUUUAAGAUUGAAUUUUAAGGCAGCAAAAUGUGAAAACUGUGCAAGGGCUAUGUAGACUUCCGCUAGGCAUUGUUAAUAUCCACUGACUCUCGAAGAAUAUAACUUAUAAAUGCCUCAUGAGCUUAGUUCAACUGUCUUACCCCAUCAGAACCCCAAAUAUAAGCUUGUUUUACCACAUUGUUUGUAAACAAUGCCAUUGUAAACAAACACUCUAUAAACAAUUCCAUUGUAAACAAACACUGUAUAAAAACAUGGUUAAAACUAUUUCUCUAUGAAUUCAAGAAUGGUUACAUUUCUCCAGCCCAGCCCCAUCCCUCAGCUAUUUAAUAAAUAAGUGGCAGGGUGUCAGCUUUGUUAUUCUUUGUUUUACAGAUUUCCCCUUUAAUCCAGAGGGGUUUCUUUGGGGGGGGGGGGGGGUUAGCAAAGAAAAUACACAUUUGGGAUUCAUUCAGAAGUCAAGUUAUGUCUCCUUAAAAGUAUCUUCUCUGUGUGAUAAUACACAUUUACCGGUAAUAAGGCAUGUGAUAAAACUAAGCCUAGGGUUCUGUGGAGAAAAGCAUUUACAGUCACUGGUGUGCGUGGCCGAAGAGCUCUAUUUUCACGUCAUCUGACUAUAGCAGCGGUUCCUGGCCAUGUGCCAUUGCCGUUUAUCAAACUUAGCCUAGGCAGCUGAUAGUGGGUGCUAGAUCUGCACUAUUGUUUAUGAUUGAUGCGCAUAGCAGGUAAUACUCUCCUGUCCCCUGUGGACCAGCUUGUACAUAAAGCAUCUUCCAUUCAGGCAGCAAGGUAUGAUUUUCCACUUUAACUAGCUUAAAAUGACGGGCCGUCUGAAAAACAAAUGUGUACUGUCUUAAUAAAACACCAUCUUCCACCACUGCUGUACACCUUUAGCUGAACGUGGUGUGCAACAUCCUAAGUUAUCAGAAAAUGGUUGUGGACAUUUUUGUUUUAUUAAGACAGCACACAUUUCUCUUCAGAUGGCGCGCCAUUAAAGCUAGUUAAAGAGGAAAGUAAUGCCUUUGCAGCCUGAAUGGAGGAUACUAUAUUUACCAGCCGGUCCACAAGGGACACUAGUGUAUUACUGGCUAGGCACAUCAAUCCUAAACGAUAGCGCAGAUCUAGCGCCCACUAUCCUGGCAACGAAUGUUCCGCCCUCACAGGCCCCUGAGCCUAAGUAAGGAUAUGAUUGGAAUGGAAUAUUGUCUUUUAAAGACAAAGAAGUGGGAAGUAAUAAAACUUUUCAUGAUGUAGUCCACCCUAAAACCCCACCAAAGAAGAAGAAGCUCAUGGAGAUCUCCAAGAACAGCGGUUCCCAAACUAGCGGUUGCAACCCCAUGUGAUAUGAAAAUGGGGUUGCAGGAGAAUUGUCAAAAUCCUGGUAAAAAAAAAUGUAUGUAAUAAUAAUAAUAUUGUAACAUCGUCUUUGUCUCUCAAAAUCAUUGUAAUGUGGUUAAUCUUAAAAAUCUAAAUGAAAAUCCUUCAAAUCUUAAAUCGUGGGAAAAGGCAGCACUUGACUGUUGGACUUGAAUCAUUCACAUGAUGAAUGGCUAAGCCCGCUACGCUAGCAAACCACACACUAUUGCAGAGACUUUCAUAUUACCAGCCGCAAUUGAUAUGGUGAAAACAAUGUGUCGGGAGGCACCGAAACUCACAUCAAUACCUAAAAAAUUGGACUGAACAACUCCGAAACUCCCCACCUUAUGCUCUCCAAAUGGACGUUAGCUGUGAGGGCUGGGAUGCAUUGACCUUUGUUCGCUGUAUGUCGGGGGAUAUAAUUCAGUGGGACAUCAUUUUCUGUCUCACGAUUCCCGAGCAUGAAACAGCACAGGGGAUGUUCAGUGUGCUGCGUGGCUAUAUUGACGAAAAACAGAUUCCACGGGAUCGAAUGGUGGGCUUUUGCACAGAUGGGGCUUAUUCUAUCACGGGUACGGCGGGCAGGCCUCUGCACUCUAAUUACGAAUACGUCUCCCUCUGCCAUAUGGACACAUUAUAUGAUACACCCACUGAGCUAUAAUGGAUACACCGAGAGCAACUGGCGGCAAAAAAAGCUGAGCGCAGAACUCAGAGAUAUGCAGCAGUUUUCCCGGUUUUGUCCUUUCUGCCUGCCCUGACCCUGAGCCUGCCUGCCAUCCUGUACCUUUGCCCUCUACUCUGGAUUACCAACCUCUACCUGCCCUGAGCCUGCCUGCUGUCCGGUACCUUUGCCCCACUACUCUGGAUUACCGACCUCUGCCUGACCUGAGCCUGCCUGCCGUCCUGUACCUUUGCCUGCCCAUGUUCGAAUUAAUAAACUUUUGUUACUUCGACAUUAUCUGCACCUGGGUCUUACCUUCAAACGUGAGACAAUCCCUGUCCUAGAAUAAGAGUUUCAAGGGAACUGUGGCUGCGUCCAGCCCACAGGCCAGGUUUAUGCUCACUCUCUGGUCACUCUCUGGUCACUCUCUGGUAUUUAGUACAAAGUUUUGGACUUUUGCUCUUUGGAGAACAACAAGAAAAUAAAAAAAAACAUGCAGCUAAAGGCAUUAAACAAUUUCUCUGAUAGAAAAUGUCCUAAGUGGCAUCGAUAUUAGUCAGAAACAUUUAUUUUAUUGUCAGAAUUGACAACAAAGUGUAAAUAGGAUAAUUUAGGAUAACUGAGUUUUGUAAGUGAGUUCAUGACUUGAGAGUUGGGUUUUGAUUUUGACAAACCACUAAAACAGGAUACACAGCUGCGACGAUUGCGCUCUACCCAAUCCUACAGCAGAACACACAGUCAGUAGGCAGGUAUCCAUUGACCCAGGUAUAUUCGACAAAAGCUAAAUAAUUGCAAUGUGUAAUGGAAAUGGCAGAUACAGGAGAAAUGUUCUAUAGAUUGAAAAAAAUAUAUAUUUGUUCGAUAGGGAUGGAUUUGUCUGACUUACUUUACUGCAACAAAUAAUGAUGGAAACUGUGUUUAUCUAAUAAAUUAAUGCUGAAUAAUUUUGAAAGAAUGCCUACGCGGGGCACAUGAUGUCAUCACGUAACUAUAAAGCUCCACAUUUAGUUCUAAAUGCAACUGAAGAAAUUAGAGAGGCUCUGAAUUCAAUGAAAAAAGGGAAAUCACCUGGCCCUGAAGGCCUAUCAGUUGAAUUCUAUAGACAGUUUGGGGAGUUACUAGAAUACCCUAUUUUUAAUAUGUUUCAAGGUUGCAUUAAAAGUGGGGAAAUGGUCUCCACUAUGAAACAGGGCCUUAUUUCAUUGAUUCCGAAGCCCGAUAAAGACCCUUCGCUCAUUGACCAUUGGAGACCAAUUACUUGAUUAAAUAUUGAUUACAAAUUGAUUGCUCUGGUUUAUGCCAAAAGAUUAAAGAAAGGAAUAGAUACCAUUAUAAAUGAGACUCAAACAGGAUUUAUGAAGGGCCGUCACAUAAGCUCUAACAUUCGUUUAGUCUCGGACCUUAUAGAUUAUUCAGAUGCAAUUGACUCAGAUGCGGUUGUCUUAUUUCUGGACUUCUGUAAUGCCUUUGACACAAUUGAACAUGAAUUUCUCUUCAGGUCACUUAAACUUUUUGGAUUCAGUGAAAUUGUUAUCAAAGUCAUUCGCAUGUUUUACAAAGAUAUAAAUAGUUCUGUGUUACUAAACCUUAAUACUUCCAAAAGAUUCAGUAUCAACAGAAGUGUACGACAGGGAUGCCCAAUUUCGCCAUUUUUAUUCAUUUUGGUUGUGGAACUUCUAUCUCUAGAUAUUCUUAAUAAUGCAAAUUUGUAUGGCUUAACCAUUUUUAACAAAGAAAUCACAAUUUCUCAACUGGCUGAUGAUACAACUCUUUUUUUUAAGAGACAAAGACCAGGUUGCCCUUAAUGCUAUAACUGCAUUUUCUAUUGCAUCAGGAUUAAAACUGAAUGUUUCUAAAUGUGAAAUCUUAUGUUUAUUUGACUCUGAUGAUAAAGAAAUAGAAAAUAUUCCUGUAAAGGACUGUGUUAAAUAUUUAGAAAUACAUCUGUCAAAAAAACACUUAGUCAGACAACAUAUGAAUUUCUCUCCUAAAAUUAAGAAAACCAAAAAUAUAUUUAAUAAUUGGCUACAAAGAGAUCUUUCUAUACUUGGGAGAGUACUUCUGUCCAAGGCAGAGGGACUGUCUCGUUUUGUGUACCCCUCAUUAUCUUUAUUUGUAAAUCCUUCUACUUGUAAAGAGAUCAAUAAGACCUUUCUUGACUUCAUCUGGAAAAAUAAGUCUCACAAACUAAAAAAGUCAGUCCUUUCUAAUAAAAGAGCUGAAGGCGGUCUGGAAGUGUUGGAUUUUGUUGACAUAAAUAACUCUUUCAAGAUCAACUGGUUGAAAAGAUGAUUGAUCAAUACUAAUUCAAUAUGGUAUUUCAUUCCAAAUAAUGUGUUUAAUACAUUGGGAGGUCUUCAAUUUUUACUGAAAUGUAAUUAUAUUCCUGAAAGAUUACCCGCUAAAUUGGCUAGGUUUCACCAACAAGCUUUAAUGGCCUGGAAAAUAUGUUUCCUGCACAAUUCUUCCCCACAUAAAGAUCGUUUGUGGAAUAAUUCAGACAUAACUGUAAGGAAUAAGUCAUUGUUCUACCCCAGCUGGCAUGAGAGGAAUAUUGACUUUGUUCUUAAUGUUUUCGACAACAGGGGCAAUAUUCUUACAUAUGAAUAAUUUAUAACAUUGAAAGAGUUUCCAAUACCUUUCAGAGAGUGAUCAAAGCCAUUCCCAGUGGUCUAACUACACUAAUGAAAACUCAUCUUAGCUUUAGUAAUGAUCACAAAGCUUAUCCAGAACUCAGAUGGAAGGUGUGGGCUUACUUGAGAGAUCUAGUUGUAAUAAAUAUAAAAGACAAAUUCACUAUUCACAAAACCAACUAACACUGAGAGGAACAUUUUUCUCGAACAUGCUUAUUGCUGACAUUGUCUGGAAAAUGCAUGGUUAAGGCCUUACAAAUAUUGUAUACCAAACAAAGUUACGGAAGUGCACUUUAAAAUUUUACAUAAGACAUAUCCAUGUAAUUUUAUGUUAUCCAAAUUUGUGGCUAUUGAUGAUAUCUGCGUUUUCUGUGAAAAAGAAGGUGAAAAUAUAUCUCACUUGUUCUUUGAAAAAAUUUGUGUCAGAAGUUUGGGAAAACCUUGCAAAAUACAUAUUUACCAUUAUGAACACCACCCAUGUUUUGACAUGAAGAAUAUAAUAUGCUACUAUUGCAAUGAUAACAAGACCAUUGAAAUUAUUGUGAAUGUUUUUAUUCUUGUUACAAAAUACUUUAUACACAAACAAAAAUUCCAAAAUUCUAUACCAAAAUAACACAUAUUUCUGAUUGAAUUUAACUAUCUUAUUAAAACAUUAACCCUAGUGAAUAACAAUAAGAAUAACAUUU